rnacentral:rRNA from 1 species
CCUACGGGAGGCAGCAGUGAGGAAUAUUGGACAAUGGGGGCAACCCUGAUCCAGCCAUGCCGCGUGCAGGAAGACUGCCCUAUGGGUUGUAAACUGCUUUUAUACGGGAAGAAACACCACUACGUGUAGUGGCUUGACGGUACCGUAAGAAUAAGGAUCGGCUAACUCCGUGCCAGCAGCCGCGGUAAUACGGAGGAUCCAAGCGUUAUCCGGAAUCAUUGGGUUUAAAGGGUCCGUAGGUGGGCCGGUCAGUCAGAGGUGAAAUCCUGCAGCUUAACUGUAGAACUGCCUUUGAUACUGCUGGCCUUGAAUCAUUGUGAAGUGGUUAGAAUAUGUAGUGUAGCGGUGAAAUGCAUAGAUAUUACAUAGAAUACCAAUUGCGAAGGCAGAUCACUAACGAUGUAUUGACACUGAUGGACGAAAGCGUAGGUAGCGAACGGGAUUAGAUACCCCAGUAGUC